UUUAACAUCCUACACACACACGCACAUUUAUUACACAACAAAUGAACUCUCAUAAUCGGUCCAAUCUGAAGCCGUAAAUCUGAGUGCAGGUUUUGGAUAAUGCUGUGCGGCUCCUCCAGAAGGUAAGUGUCAAAUCUUUGAUGGGAGAAAAAACUACCUAAAAAUAAAACAAGGAGGAUCUGCAGAGAGGCCGCUCACAACAUGACAAGUUAAUUGUUGCUUUUAAAAGGUUAGCAUGGACACGUAGAUUUAGCUAGAAACCUUUGCAGGUUAAAUCAAAGAAUAUGCUUCAUCUUAAAUAACCAAAUAACCAAAAAUAAAUCUAAAAUAAGAAAUCAGCUCCUGUGCUGUCUUUUUAAAACACUUUAAAGCAUAAACAUAUUAAAGCUCCUGUGAGGACAUUUCAGUUGAUUCGGUUUUGGCGCCCCCUGUGGGUGUCGCAGUCUUUGCGUAACUUGUCAUUUUGACAGUCAAAUAUUUCAUCUAACGUGAAUAUUUUACGUUGAAGUUGUUAAAACGGAUUCGUCUCUAGCUGAUGGCUUACACCUACCUUCUCAUACCAGUUUCGGACCUCAAAAAUUCGGAUCCAAUUAUAUAUGAUUUUUAAUUGUUUUUGUCUAUUUAUAAAUUUCAGUCUAUUUAAAAAAAAAAAACAAAACUGAUAUAUAUUGUCUAAAUAUAUCCAACCAUCAUUACAGAAAGCUUAAAAAUAACGAUUGUUACAACCCAACCAAAUAUAUUAACAAGAAUUUAUAAAUUCAAAUAUAAAAAGACGACAGGAGGAGGAUUUUUGUCACUGAGCAUCACUUUCACCGGGACAAGAUCAAAUCAGCAACAAUAAAAGGGUUUCCACUUUGUCCACAGAGGGCGCCAAACUCAACACAGACAGAAAGUUCCUAACUGGAGCUGUAAUAUCUAUCUAAGAAUCAGGGGAAAUCUCUGUACAAAGGAGACUGGGCAGAAAACUGAGAGUGGAUUUCUGUAAUCUUUGGACUCCUAGGCAGCACAGAUAUUUUUUGGAAAAUACUGAAUGCUGGUGUAGGUUUAGGAGUGGCAUAUGCGGCAAUCUAGACCCAGCUCAUUUCAGAGUAGACCUUCAUAUUUCAGUGAGACAACGCCACAUCACAUCCUGCAAAUAUUACAACAGCAUGGUGGCGUCCUGGUGCUAAACUUCCCGGCCUGCGGUCAACUUCAUCGUCUAAGAACAUUUUGUUGCAUUAUACAGUAACUAUUAGAGAUGAAGUCCUGUAGCAGACAAGAAUCGGACCAUGUUUCACCUUCAGAACUUCAGAAACUGGUCUCCUGUAUUCCCAGAAGUGAGUGGAGGAAGUUUGUGGAAGUGAUGCUACAGGAUAGAAAACAUGUGAGUGAGUAUGGUUCAGUUUAGUCACUCUUUUUUGAUCCCUCCUUUUUUUAGGAUACUAAUAUGAUGUAGUUUAGAUACUAGAGAGUGUCCAGAUCAAGUCCUUUACGUUAAAGACCGUUUCAGCAGUGUGUGGUGACUCUGAAUGACCUUCACCUCCACCUAUCAGGUGUUUCAGAUGUUAAAAAUCACCACUGGUUUGUAUAAAUUUACAAUCUUCACACUGAUGGUCACAUUUGCUUUGACUUCAGUCUGUUUAUGACAUGCCAAAAAAUCACUGACACUGGCUUUAACAUCACAUGUAAACAGUAGAAACAGUAGAAAACAGACGACUUGUUACCUUGGACACAUGAUUAAAAAAGAAUUAUUUAACUCCUGCUCAUGCAAAUAUCCAGAAAGAGUCCAAAAGAGUCCUGAAACUUUAACUGACGUGUUCAGAUCUACUACUUCCCGUACUUUAGCUGGUGAAGGACUUUGUGUUACUUAAGACAGUAAAAGAUGGAAAAGCAGCUGGAGUACCUGACAUACAGUUUAUUGACAUCACAGUAUGUCGUUUCUGGGUAAUUAAUUCCUAAAAAUGUCCAGAAAAAAUAAGAAUUCCCUGUCCCCAGCUUUACAAUAUUUACAGCAGUAUAUGCUUUUUGCAGACACUGAUAGAGAACAUUUCAGAUGCAUUAAGUGCAUUCGCAGAUAUUCAGACAUUCUGUACAUAUACUCUUCACAGAUUUAUAGUCUCCGAGUUUGAGCCCAAUGUCAUCCUUCAGAUUUAUAAAUCUAAAUCAUAAAUACAUUUAAUUUAUGUAUUCACUAAGUUAUGAUUUUAAUUUUCUGCUUUGACUUUACAUAAAAAUAAAAACUAACAUAAAAGUUAGAAGUUUGGAUCUGAUGCAGUAAAAGUUGAUUUUAUCCAGCUCAGAAUUUAAAUGCAAUAAUAAGAUCAGCUGAGUAGCUACAACGUAGUAUUAGGGCCAUGUUAAGAAAAAAAAUUUAAGACUUUGAGAUUAAAGUCGUUAAUUUACCAGACUUAAGAUAUUACUAACAAGUAUAAAGUCCUAAUAAAAUCGUAAUAAAAUUAAGUAGUAAUUAACUAAUUACUUGCAAGAAUAAAGUUGUAAUAAAAUAAUUUCUUACGAGAAUAAUAUCGUAAUAAAGUAAUUACUUAUGAGAAGAAAGUUGUAAUACAAUCAUGACUUGUGCGAAUAACAUCAUGAUAAAGUAAUUAUUUACGUGAAUAUAGUCGUAGUAAAGGAAUUACUCAUGAGAAUAAAGUCGUAAUAAAGUAACAACUUACGAGAAAAAAGUCAUUAUAAAAUUAUCGCUUACAAGAAUAAAGUCGUAAUAAAGAAAUUACUUACGAGAGUAAAGUGGCUAUAAAGUAAUGACAAGAAUAAAGUCAUUACUAUCGAGAAUAAGUUGUAAGUAGUAACAAGUAACAAGUAGUAGUAAGGAGUAAAGUCAUAAUAAAGUAAUAACUAACAAGAACAAAGUCGUCAAAGUAACUACUUUAACUUAACUUUAACUUUAGUUAUUCGCGUUAGUUAUUACUUAUUAUGACUUUAUUCUUGUUAAUAAAUAAUAAAGUCGUAAUAAAAUCAUUACUUAUGGGAGUUAAGUUCACUAACAAGAAUAAAGUCGUCAAAGUAACUACUUUAUUUUGACUUUAUUCUCGUAAGUUAUUACUUUAUUACGACUUAGCGUAGUAAGUAAUGUUUUUAUUACAACUUUAUUCUCGUAAGUAAUUACUUAUUACGACUUUAUUCUUGUUAGUCAUGAUUUCAUCCACUUAAAUCAACGACUUUAAUCUCAAAGUCUUAAUUCUUGUUUUUCUGAAUGUGGCCCUAAUACUCUGUCGUAGGUAUCAGUGCUUUUGUUGCAUCAGAUUGUCUUGACUGGAGUUUCAGCAUCAGAAUAAACCUCGAUGACAGUGUCACAGAUUUAUACCCGAGCGGAUCUGUUUCAGUGCGAGACUCCAUUCUUGCUGCUGAAGUAAUCCCACAGACCUCCAGUCCAGACGAGUCCUCUGCUGAGUCUGACAGUGUUUAUGAAGCUGUGUUUUGUGGUCAGUGUGGUCUCUCACUCGUCCCUGAGGCCUUGUAAAGAUCCUCGCCACAAAGCUGCUCAGACGCACUGCGCCUCGACCACAAUACUCGAACAUACACAUCUGUUGAGCAGCAGCGUGUCUGAGCUCAAAAUUUAUGUUUGCAGCCCGACGGGACAUCAGGAAGAGUGGAUGUCUUACUGGGAGGUUACUCCUCUGAUCGCCGAGGAGAGCUCUUUUAGCUUUUUUGGCCGAGUUUUUCCAUCAUAAAAGCCCAAAUUUAUUCAAAUCCUGUAACUUAAUAAUGGCAAAGUCCCUCAGAGCCAUGCUGAGGAAGCAUUAUUAAUCUCUCAAACACUUUUUCCCAUUAAAAAGAAUCAUUUGAUUUUAAUUGUGCCAUCCAUUAUUAUUCUUUGCAUCCUCCUGAAACAGUGCGAAUGAAACUCCACCAAAGCUAUGAUGAUGAUGUGAAAAUAAAUUCCAGUUAUCGUGCAUAAUCGUCGGAAUUUACUUUUUGAUUAGUGCAACCAAAAGCUUUUCAUUAUCCAAAAAGCAUUUCAGUGACAUAAAGCCUUCAUUUGAAUUCAUUUAAAGCAAUUCAGAGCGGCGUUUUGGUAUCGUGAAUGAGAUUGGAUUGGAAUUUCAAUGAACAUCAAUGCUCUGACCAUUUUGUUUUACUAAACCUUUUUCUUUCCACCACAUUUAUCCCCUCUCUCUCUCUCACACACACACAUGCACACGCGCACACGCACUGCCGGCCCUGUGUCCCGGCGAUGAUGGCUAACACAUGCCGUUUAAACAAUCGCCCCAAUCCCCCCUUAUCUUCAGGAGUUAUGGGCCUAAAUCUACUCAUAAUACACAGCUCACUGAGGGUGUAAUCCCUGAGAACAUCGGAAUAAAUCCAGGCUAUAUCCGCUACAUGCAGACUAGCGGCCAGAGCCAGGGCCAUUAUGAUGCGACUGAGGAAGAGGAGGAGGAGGAGGAGGAGGGUUAGGGAGAGGCACUAAUGGGUCGUCUAUGAAUUCAUAUUAACACCGAGCCAUUAGGACACCUCCAUCCAGGAAAUCCCUCUGACCUCCUGGUACAACAGCUGUCUGAAGUUUAAACUUUAAAACCGACAAUCCCUCCACUGUCACGUCUCUUCCUCUCUUCUCUCUUCUCUCUUCUCUCUCGCCGCUCCUGGAUUGUCCUGAUCUGUCCCAAUCGAAAAAGUCUUAACACAAGAACCCACAGGCGGGGGAAACAGAGCCAACCGGUCACAUUUGGCUGCGAUGAAAGGGGACACAAAAGCAAGGGGAAGGGGAGGGGGGUUGGACAAAUAUGUGACGACAACCGAGAGGGCAGAGUGUCUUUGGCGCAACCUUUCGCAACCUCUGCUCAAAGAAAUAAAAAUAAACUGGAAAAACAAAGCUGGUGGUAUCAAGUUAAUCUCAACUGGGAUUCAAAGUCAACUGUCAGGACACAUGGUUGUCCGCUCCAUGACUCGUGGCGUUUGUAAAACAGUCUGGAGAGCGUGCACGCCGGAGAAAUCCUUGUCGUAUUAAAAAAAAAGUCAAAUGCAAAGAGAGGAGUAAGUGUUUUUUUUAUCAUCUUGAAGCGAAAUUAAGUGACCAGGCAAUCAAAUUAAAAAUGCAAACUUGAGUGUCUCCUUCUCCUUUUCCUUUUCCCUCCUCGCUCCCCUCUCUCUCUCUCUUCUCUCUCACUCCCUCGUUCAGGCCUGAGGAAGCAGCCAAACAACCGUCUUGGGGGUGUGUGUUGGUAAUCGAGGCCCCUGGGCUCCCUGGCUCCUUGGCUCCUUGGCUGGACAACAGUUUCCUGGCCUGAAGGGGUCAGCGGUGGGCUGUCUGAGAAACUGGCAGCCAUGGGGGUUCCAGAGGGGAUGUUUUUCAGGAGGGUUUGGAGGAGGUGUGGG
rnacentral:lncRNA from 1 species